CUCCCGCCGGCGACCGGCGCACGGGUGAGUAACACGUAUGAAACCUGCCCGUAGCAGGGGGAUAAGCGGAAGAAAUUCCGUCUAAUACCGCGUAACAACCCGAGGAGGCAUCUCCUCGGGUUUAAAGGAAGCGAUUCCGGCUAUGGAUGGUCAUGCGUCGCAUUAGCUAGUUGGCGGGGUAACGGCCCACCAAGGCGACGAUGCGUAGGGGUUCUGAGAGGAAGGUCCCCCACACUGGUACUGAGACACGGACCAGACUCCUACGGAAGGCAGCAG
rnacentral:rRNA from 1 species